GUGUUCACUUCAGCAGCACAUAUACUAAAAUUGGAACAAUACAGAGAAAAUUAGCAUGGCCCUGCACAACGAUGACAUGCAAAUUUCUAAAGUGUUCCAUAAAUUU
rnacentral:snRNA from 1 species